GUUGAUGUCUAUCCCAAUGGAGCUAUUUCUGUAGCCACAUAUUGUUGGGAAUACCUCAUAGAGUAACUUUAUGGUCUUGCUUUAUUCACAGAACUGUUUGUUAGGUCUGUGGGAAGGAACUACAAAAUAAUU